rnacentral:misc_RNA from 1 species
AACGCACAUUGCGCCCUCUGGUAUUCCGGGGGGCAUGCCUGUUCGAGCGUCAUUACAACCCUCAAGCUCUGCUUGGUAUUAGGCUUCACCCUUAGGGGCGGGCUUUAAAAUCAGUGGCGGUGCUAUUCGGCUUCAAGCGUAGUAAUUUUUCUCGCUUUGGAGGACCGGGUGUGUGUUUGCCAACAACCCCAAUUUUUAAAGGUUGACCUCGGAUCAGGUAGGGAUACCCGCUGAACUUAA